UUGGGAAACAUACAAUUUUAUAUUACAUUAUUAUAUUAUGACUAAUUACAAUAACUGAAAUCAAUAAAGUUUCCACUAUUAACUAAUACAUACAACAGCACUAUACAUUGCGUGAAACAUAGUGUUUUGAAAAAAAUUAA